rnacentral:other from 1 species
GGCUCCCUGCAGUGUUCGUGAUGGUGGACUGAGUCUUGAGCUAACACCCGGGAACCGGGUGCUGGAAUAGGGCGGUGGAACGCGUCCCCUCAGGGGGAGCCGCGUGAAGCCGAACUGAAGCACCCAUCUUCUUUUCCUGGUUCAGAGACCAUUCACUACACGGCACGUGCGGGGCCUUU